AUUAUUAUCAUUAUUUCGCUACCCACAAGAGGAUCUCUAGGGAAAGCCGAGUAGCCCCUGGGGACGAUUACUGAAAAAGUGGGAUUAUGGGAAGCAUUUUCUCUGAUUGUGGUGAGUGACUACAUCUCAAAUGUCGCUGCGAGGAUUCCGCUAGAGUACCUGCAGAAGAGAUCAACUUGCUUUUGGCAAUAUUCUCUUAUGAAUUGCUACUUUUUUACAACCAAUAUCUUUCGGCGUUUGGACAAAUUUUACCCGGAAGGUGCUGUUUUGGAUCAAGUGAGAGAAACACCAAAGGAUUUUCUACCUGUCAUUUAGUACAUAAGUGAUCUGCCUUUAAGCCUGGGAUCCUGGUUUGGAGUCAAACUCUUACUAACUGUGAAGGCCAAAAUUAACAUGUGAUGCAUAAAUUGUACAGAUAGGCAAGGUCACUCCAAGAUAGAAAGUUAUCAUCUAUUGGGACAAGUAAACUCAAGUGAUAAGUAUUUUGUGCACCAUCUUGUGUUUUACUGGGCUUGAUCAGUCAUCUCCAUUAGAAGAUAUAACAGAUUAACAAUUGUAGAAACCCACGCACAACUUGAAGAUACAUAGGCUGACAUGGAAGACUAAUGGUACUCAAGAUUUAUAGUUUUGAGAGACCAAAGUGAAGAAAAGUCAAGAGAUCAAGCGACAGAACCUGGAACCAAUUUAAGACAUGACAUGGGAGACAGAUGGUACUCAGAAUUCGAAGUUUGGAGAGACCGAUUUGCAGAAACACAAAGAGAUCAAGGGGCACAACAUGGAACCAAUUUAAGAUUUGAGACUGAAAGGUUAGUGGGGCCUGUCUUGAACUGUCCUAUAUUAACAGGAGCUCAAGGAAAGCCGAAAGUAGAAGGAAAGUUGAGAAAACCAGCAGGUUGGGAAAGGGGAAGUCAGCCGCCCACAGGCAGCCCAAGCUCAAUACCAGGAAAGCGGACGUGACUCUUAACGUGUUG